CAGCUCUGUGUUCCGCUUCCCCCUUCUUCUAGGGUUACGAGUGAUGAGGGGUCAAGCUGUGCUAUGGAGAAGCAAGCUUAGUGCUAUGGCAUGGGAUUAAAGAUCUGAUCUGUAUAUCCAGGUUUUGCAUCUGGGGGCAGCAAGCUAGAGGCAGCAACUGCGUAACUUGCGAGAAACUUGUUGGACCAUGGUCGUGCUGAUGAUUUUACCGCAAGUUAUGCAGUUGCUGCCUCAAACUUUCUGCCUCCCUUUGCCAAACCAGCUGGAAUACAAUGAAGAAAGUUCAAUUAUAGUCUGUAAAGAGACCUUCCUCCACAAC